AUAUCAAUAAGCGGAGGAAAAGAAACCAACAGGGAUUGCCUCAGUAACGGCGAGUGAAGCGGCAACAGCUCAAAUUUGAAAUCUGGCUCCUCUGGGGUCCGAGUUGUAAUUUGUAGAGGAUGCUUCGGGCAAGGCUGCGGUCUAAUUUGCUUGGAACAGCGAGUCACAGAGGGUGAGAGUCCCGUCUAGAACCGCGCGCCGCGUCCAUGUGAAGCUCCUUCGACGAGUCGAGUUGUUUGGGAAUGCAGCUCUAAAUGGGUGGUAAAUUUCAUCUAAAGCUAAAUAUUGGCCAGAGACCGAUAGCGCACAAGUAGAGUGAUCGAAAGAUGAAAAGCACUUUGAAAAGAGAGUUAAACAGUAUGUGAAAUUGUUGAAAGGGAAGCGCUUGCAACCAGACUUGCGAGGGACGGUUCCCUCCAUCUUCUGAUGGGGCUACUCCGUCCUCUCCAGGCCAGCAUCGGUUUGGGUGGUCGGUCAAAGACCCCGGGAAUGUAUCUACCUUCGGGUCGACUUAUAGCCCGGGGUGCAAUGCGGCCCACCCGGACCGAGGAACGCGCUUCGGCCCGGAUGCUGGCGUAAUGGUUGCAAGCGGCCCGUCUUGAAACACGGACCAAGGAGUCUAACAUCUAUGCGAGUGUUUGGGUGUCAAACCCCUACGCGUAAUGAAAGUGAACGGAGGUAAGAACCCCGUCAGGGGCGCAUUAUCGACCGAUCCUGAUGUCUUCGGAUGGAUUUGAGUAAGAGCAUAGCUGUUGGGACCCGAAAGGUACGCCGCUCAUUCCACCCUCUUUUUGUUUGUUGCAUGCAUGCUAACUUGUUGACAGAUGGUGAACUAUGCCUGAAUAGGGUGAAGCCAGAGGAAACUCUGGUGGAGGCUCGCAGCGGUUCUGACGUGCAAAUCGAUCGUCAAAUUUGGGCAUAGGGGCGAAAGUCAGUUAAUCCGUCAUCCCUACACCGGGAGAUUCUUAUGCUAACAUUUUUUAUAGGACCAAUCGAACCAUCCUUAUGGCAUCUUGUAAAGAAAACCGAUGUGUGAGGUUCUCUUUAAGCGUUGCCAGGUGGUUAAUUUCCUAACUUUCAGUUGGGCCAGUCUGAUACUUGGUAUUGGGCGACGUCGUCAGCCUUCGGGGAUGUCCUCACGGCUAUCCGAAGCCGUCCUUAUGUUGGGACGGUUCACAGACUAGACAGUGACGGCCGAAGCCUCUUGACCGGGGACGGUGAUUAUAUAGUCGAGUAAAGUUAUUGGACCUUGCGAGUAUUCUGACCAAGAGUACUCGGUAGACCGUACGUUAUUAUGUACGCCUUAUUAGGCUUUUAGGCUUCUUUGAGGUUGGUCUUGCGAGAAUCCCGUAGCUUUUGAACGCUGGUAGCUGGUUCCUGUCGAAGUUUCCCUCAGGAUAGCAGUAACGUUUUCAGUUUUAUGAGGUAAAGCGAAUGAUUAGAGGCCUUGGGGUUCAAGCAACCUUAACCUAUUCUCAAACUUUAAAUAUGUAAGAAGUCCUUGUUACUUAGUUGAACGUGGACAUUUGAAUGUAUCGUUACUAGUGGGCCAUUUUUGGUAAGCAGAACUGGCGAUGCGGGAUGAACCGAACGUGAGGUUAAGGUGCCGGAAUGUACGCUCAUCAGACACCACAAAAGGUGUCAAUGCAUCCAGACAGCCGGACGGUGGCCAUGGAAGUCGGAAUCCGCUUAGGAGUGUGUAGCCCCUGUUGCACACCAUUAAUUCGACAUGAAUUAGUUGAGCUUCCGCCUCAACGAUGGCUCUAUUUGACUGGAAAUCUCUUUAUCGGGAUGACCGGCCGUGAAUUCUCAGAUUCAUCUACAGACUAGAGAGAGCCGACCACGCACUCCCCCACGGAGUGAUGGUUAAGAUAUAGUCGAUCAAGACCCCGAGCCACGCGGGAUCUUUGGAUGAGAACAACUCACCGGCCGAAUGCAUUGGCCCUGAAAAUGGAUGGCGCUUAAGCGUGCUACCUAUACCUCGCCGUUGGGGUUGAAAUGAUGCCCCAACGAGUAGGCAGGCGUGGAGGUCGGUGACGAAGCCUUUGGGGUGACCCUGGGUCGAACGACCUCUAGUG
rnacentral:rRNA from 1 species